rnacentral:rRNA from 1 species
GGCCGCGGUAUUCUGACCGUGCAAAGGUAGCAUAAUCAUUUGUUCUCUAAAUAAGGACUUGUAUGAAUGGCCACACGAGGGUUUUACUGUCUCUUACUUCUAAUCAGUGAAAUUGACCUCCCCGUGAAGAGGCGGGGAUGAACAAACAAGACGAGAAGACCCUAUGGAGCUUUAACUAACUGAUCCAAAGAGAACAAAACCUAACCACCAAGGGACAACAACACUACUUAUGGAUCAGCAGUUUCGGUUGGGGUGACCUCGGAGAAUAAAAAAUCCUCCGAACGAUUUUAAAGACCAGACCUACAAGUCAAAUCAAAUUAUCGAUUAUUGAUCCAAUAACUUGAUCAACGGAAUAAGUUACCCUAGGGAUAACAGCGCAAUCCUAUUCAAGAGUUCAUAUCGACAAUAGGGUUUACGACCUCGAUGUUGGAUCAGGACACCCCGAUGGUGCAG